rnacentral:rRNA from 1 species
UACGUAGGGAGCAAGCGUUGUCCGGAAUCAUUGGGCGUAAAGAGCGCGUAGGCGGUUCGUCGCGUCGGCUGUGAAAACCCGGAGCUCAACUCCGGGCCUGCAGUCGAUACGGGCGGACUUGAGUGUUGCAGGGGAGACUGGAAUUCCUGGUGUAGCGGUGAAAUGCGCAGAUAUCAGGAGGAACACCGGUGGCGAAGGCGGGUCUCUGGGCAACUACUGACGCUGAGGAGCGAAAGCGUGGGGAGCGAACAGG